GAAGCUUGAUUAUCACAUGGGCAUGUAUGUGAAUUUGAUUGGUCAGGUCUGGAAACGCCCCUUUUAGAGGGCGGUGCAGUUUCUCAAUCCUAGUAUCCUCCUACCAUCAUUCCAACAUCAAGCAGAUUUGCUUGUAGAUCACAGAGAUUUUUUUUGAGAAAAUGAGCUAUUAAAAUGGAAAAAUAAUUACAACAAUUACAUCUGUAAUUGUUAUUUUGUACAGUAUAACACAUUAUUUAUUUAUUUAAUUUCAUUUUUAUUUUAUUUAGACAGUUUUGAGAUUGCCAUUGUAUUUAUUUUAUUUUAUUUUAAAUUAAGCUUUUAUUUUGAAACUGUAUUCCAGAUGUUAUCAGGGCUGUUUUCACUUAACUCUCAACCCUGCAAUCCCAAAAACAUUCAUUGACUAGUAAUGUAAUUGUGAGUGGUAAAUCAACCAAUCUGGUACAGCAAAAAUGGGCAAUUUACCAUGCAACUCUUGAGAUGUGUGUGCACUUCUUGACUUUAGUGACGGCAGUUAAAUAACUACAUCAUGGAUACUGGAUUCCCCAAACAAGAAGAGCACUAGGGUGAGAGCUCAUAACAGAUAUUCGGCAAGUGUUUGUAAUCUAAUUUUAAAGUCUAACUGUUAAAAAGAAAUGAAAAUCACUGAGGUAGGAGAAGCAGGUGUUAAUUUUGUAGAGCUGGUCCAAAGACUUGAAAGAUAUGGAUGAGAGGGUGCUUUUCUUCCAGCAUGUGUUUCCAGUGGAUUUUGGCACUGACUUCGACUCAGACAUUCAGGUUCUGAUGUGGCAUUUCCUGUAUCAUCUGAAGCACUUCCUGCCAAUCCCUGACCUUCAGCAGUGUCUACAGCAAGAAGCAAGCUGUCAUUAAUGGGCUCCCAAAAAAGUGAAUCUGGUCGAGGAAUUUUUUUAGUGAAGAGCCGAGGACAAAAGUGUGAUGACAGUGAAGAGACAAACUUCCAGCCCUGGAACCAAUUAGAGCAGGAGGAGUCCCUCCACCAGUCCACCAGAGGUGCCUUCGGUGUGAAGAUAGAAGCAGGUGCUACUGUCGUUCCUCUGGAGAAGUAAUCAACAGCACCUCUGUUCUAAGUCUGCAAGAUGGAUAAUACAGAAAUGACAUCAGGACCCUGGAAUGAGAGCCAGUUUGCCUGAUUUUACAGCAUGUUGAAUGAGACUCUCCGAUGAAGUACGCCACACAUGCACAGGUACACACUCAUCCUGAUGUUUCCA